GGUCUCGUAGCUCAGUUGGUUAGUAGCAUCGGUCUUAUGAGCCGAAGGUCGCGGGUUCGAACCCCGCUGGGACCA
rnacentral:tRNA from 1 species